AGAGCCCUGCUGUGUGCGUGUAAGCCCGGAUGUUUUGAGCCAACACAUACACUAUGGGAGCCUAACUCUGAUUAUGGCAUGUAUGCCCCAUAACCUUUGGGGGACACAUAAAGUAAUCAGGAGGGCACCCACCUGCCGAGGGCAGGUUCAAAACAACGGCAAUACGGCAUGGUGGGGACUUA
rnacentral:other from 1 species